CUCUAGGCCCGCUUGUAAAGAUGCAGAGGCCAGAGAGUGGAAGGUACUCAGGUGGGGCUACUCAUCCCAGGGGAAUCUGGUCACCCACACAGGUGGAUCAAGUACCCCACAAGUGAAUCAUCACCUCAUAGGAACCCUGCCCACGAUGAAAGCCUGUCCAGCAUUUGAUGAGCUCUUCUUUCCACCUGCUCCUGCCCAGUGAUGAAACUGUGGGCUACUAGCCCCAUUUCACAGAAAAGAAAACAGAGGUUCCAAGAGGCUUGUGAGUGGCUGAGUCCCUGAGCUCCAGCUAGAACCUUACAACUCAAGUAACUGUUGGCGCCUACCCAACACUUGAAGUUGAGGUCUAGGAGCCAAAGGAACCCCAGACCUUGGGGCC
rnacentral:lncRNA from 1 species